UACGUAGGGUCCGAGCGUUGUCCGGAAUUAUUGGGCGUAAAGAGCUCGUAGGCGGCCUGUUACGUCUGCUGUGAAAACCCGGGGCUUAACCCUGGGCUUGCAGUGGAUACGGGCAGACUAGAGGCAGGUAGGGGAGAAUGGAAUUCCCGGUGUAGCGGUGAAAUGCGCAGAUAUCAGGAGGAACACCGGUGGCGAAGGCGGGUCUCUGGGCCGAUACUGACGCUGAGGCGCGAAAGCUAGGGGAGCGAACAGG
rnacentral:rRNA from 1 species